UACGAAGGGGGCUAGCGUUGCUCGGAAUCACUGGGCGUAAAGGGUGCGUAGGCGGGUCUUUUAAGUCAGGGGUGAAAUCCUGGAGCUCAACUCCAGAACUGCCUUUGAUACUGAAGAUCUUGAGUUCGGGAGAGGUGAGUGGAACUGCGAGUGUAGAGGUGAAAUUCGUAGAUAUUCGCAAGAACACCAGUGGCGAAGGCGGCUCACUGGCCCGGUACUGACGCUGAGGUGCGAAAGCGUGGGGAGCAAACAGGAUUAAGAAACCCU
rnacentral:rRNA from 1 species